UGACCCGCACAGAGACGGUGACCAGCUGGAGGCUGAAGAUUGCUCAUGGAGGUAGGAGAACCCAGGCACUAGUUUUCUUCACGUUCAAAUUUCCUUAAAGCUGGUAGCCCUGGGCCGGUCCCACCAGCACUGGGGCUUUCAAUUGGUGUGAACAGGAACCGUGCUUGGCAUCUUCCUUUCUCUGUUCCUUAGCAGCAGAUGGAAAGCAGGCUGAGAACAAGACACAGGAGCUGUGGUGGGCUCUUCCAAGCUGACUCCAAGGGGAACCAAGAAAGGGGCCAACCCGUGUUUUAACUUACCCCCAUGCAGACCCCUUGAAAUCAGUAGGUUUUCCUAGGUAACUAUUUGGAGGGUCAAAGUAUGACAUCAGGUGCAGCUGCCCCUGAUUUCAUGGAUGUGUGUAUCCAUGAGCAGAGUUUAACCUGCUGACCCUACACACGGCAGAGGAGAAUAUUGCAAUUACAGUCUCUCUUCUCAGUCCAAACACCGCCUUGCUUCCCGUCUGCUUAUACAGGGACGCCUGUGCAGAAUGCACUUCGCUUCCAAUCAGGGCGAUGGAGGUGUUACUCUGCACACAUGCCUCUGAACUGCGGAGGCACAACCCCAGCAGGUUAGCCAAUUUGGAUGGUUUUUCCCUAGGCUGGGAGGCAGAGUGUUUUCCCCCUUUGAAUGAAUAUGGGAUGCACCUGUAUACCUGCAAUCAUGCAGGAUGCGUGUCUGACUUUGGGGUCUGCCUAGGGCUGGGUGUUUUAAGGAUGCAUGUGCAUGUGAUAUGUCUGGUGUGCAGGUCUGUGAUGUCUGUGCAUUUCCCCGUACUCCUCGGAGUCAAUGCCAUCUCCCCAUAGGGUCUGUCACCAUUAGCAACAGUCUGGUAGAUCUGGUUAUGCCCUGCCUGCAUUCUGGGUCUUUCCCCAGUUUUACUUCGGGUUAGUCAGUCAAGUUCAGUCCUAUUUUACACUAGGCAGAAAGAAGGAGCUCAGCCUCUCGGCUUGAGGCUGGCUGAUCUAUGCAAGCCUCUGCAUCAGCUCUGCAGAGAUGGCUCUGGCGACUCCAGCGUGGGCAGGAUCCGUCCCGGGGUGUUUGACUACAUUAGUGGUGGCGUGUGUGUGAGGAAAGAGGCCUGUGCUGCUAUUGGUGGUAAAUCUCUGUCUAUGUGGAUAUUAGCAAUGUGUUUCUCCAGCUGCGUCAGUGUAUGUGUUUGUGUAUACAGACUCAAUUUAUGUCGUUUUGCAAGCAGCUCAGUGUUUGUGCCAGACUCUGUGUGAUUUUGUGAAAGGCCAUGCUUGCAUGUUUGGAUUGAUUUAAUAAGAGGGUGCAUGUGUGUGUUUAUAUUUAGAGAGCUCCAGGGAGAAGCUCACGCAUACGGGGACUGGGGCUCGGGCUGCGCGAUUGGAUGACAUUUCUGUGUGAUUUCUGAGCCCGGCACCACUGCAGCUGCAUGGGUGCUCCUUUGACAGGGAGCGUGUCAGAGUGAUCUCGCGUGUGGGUGUGGGAGUCUGGGGGCGAGUGUUUGUGUGCGCAGGGAAGUUGCAUGCUUUCCCUGUGCAUGGUGAUGCUUCUUAGAUUUCAUAGGAGGGGGAUUUUCUAGCUCACCUGCAUGUUUUCACCAUCACUAGAUGUGCUUAGGAGCUUGGGGGUAAUCGUUUGUGCGGCCUGUUUGCUUUUGAGUGACAUCACUGCAGGACAUAUAUAUGGGAUUUCCUAUGGGGAGUAUUACAGGAGGUCUCCCGCAUGCCCUCCGACACUGUACGUGCCACCGGCACAUGUACAUCUAAACACAUGAGCCUGUUCAUAGCACACGUAUGACCCCCCCACUCCAAUUUGUGCAUACGGUUUGAAACACCAGGGUCUUAGACUCCCAUCAGCUACCUGGCUUUAAAUUAGGAGACAGCUCAUAGAAUUCAGUGAAGAUCCAUCUGCAAGAAGACUAGGGUGAAAUCCAAGCCAAAAACUUACAGAUGUUUAAGAUGCAUUUUUGCACUUAAGAUAUUCGUUGUGAGGAUUUGCAUCUUUUGUUAACAUUCAGUACUUCUCUAUUUAAUAUGCUCCUCCAUUGAAAGAUCACGCAUAUCACAGUUAAAGUGAUUUAAUGUAUUCAGAGAGACUGUUACCAUGAUCAAAAAGGACACAUGGACCCUUCUGGCAUAUUUUGGACAAGGGUGCUGCGGGGGUGGGCUUGGAAGGGGUGCGAGGCUGUAGACAUGUUGCAGGGUGGUUGUGGGAGCGUGCAGGGGUUUUCUGUGGGAUUUGAGGGGAGGCUGCUGUCCCUGUGCUCUCUCUUCUCCUAAGGGAGAGAAGGGGUGGGCAUGCACAUGCAUGCAUUUGAGGGGUGGGCUGCUGCCUUUUUUCUUUGUGCUGUUCCAGGAAGGUGUGAUGUGUGUGUGGCUGGUUGGGUGCUGCACAGAGACUCAGGACGGCUCUCCAUGGCUGGAAGGGGCUGAGGUGCUGCUUUGCAGCAUGCCAUCUGCAACUUCAGGGCAGUGCAUCUCCAAUGCCGCUCGCAUUGGUUACCAAGGGCUUUGAUCCAGGCGCGCUGGCCGUGCGCGCGGCUCACCCAGCCCUUGUCGCUCCGGAGAGAGGAGCCCGCACCCUUGGAGAAACAUGACUCCUGCUGCUUGGGGCCCUCCUCAUUGCCAGUCGUUUAGCCGCGCUCAUGGGCAGUGAGCGGGAUCAAUAAGCCACCUCCGACUCUUCUAUUUACAAACUCGCUGCCUUCAGCAACCAGGCUGUUUAAGCACUCCAUUCCCAUUCAGGAGGGCCAUCUGCUGCCUUUUGCUGUAAGUCUCUCUGAAAACCCCAGCCUUGACAAGCUAGAGAUAUGUCAGUGCAGUUAUCAGCAGAAAGCAACAUCUGCCAUGCCUGACACCCACUAUUGUAGGCCAUUUAAUCUGUCCCCCUCCUCCCUUUAACUGCAGACAACAGCUCCCUAUAUUAUAUUUUCCCACUCAAUUAGCACUAUCAUCCUGCUGAAAUAGAGGCCAAUUUACCUUUAAUGACAUCAUUGUUAGGAGAGUGGCAGCGCCUGGUCCGUGGCUGUCACUGGAUUGCAGGAGGCAGGCUUGUUUCUCUCCACUAACCCUGACAGAGGAAGGGAAGACCCAGCAGCCUAUCGGAGGCAGCCUUCACCCCCGACCACAGACAUUGUUUCCGACAGUUCGCAGAAGCAGUGUGGCGGAAAAUUGAGUCCAGAUUCAUUAGGUUUUUCAGUGUGCUGCUCAAGUCAGUUAAAUUGAUACAUUUCCUAACAAAAUUGAAGUGCUUUGUGCUGCCAGCGGAAAGCCUGGUGACCCUGCUCGGCCCAGUGAGCCGCCAAAACGAGUUGAUGGAUCCAUUAGGCCGCUCAGAAUGCUUUUCCCCCUCUCCCUCCAUUCCUGAGUGACACUGUAAAUCUGAGCCAAUUUCAGUCCCUAAUCAUCAUUACAAACCCCUCCACUGUUCAUUUAUUACUCUACAAUUCUAAUACAGCACACGAAUGGGUCAGCACACAGGGAGCCAACACAACUGCGUCGACAGGCUUAAAGAGCCCAUAAUCCUUCCCGGGCUUUAUCUGAGAAGCAAACCUGAUUUCCCUUUGCCACCCCCUCGCAGCCUGCUCCGGACUGGAGAUCAGAUGAUGGCUGCCUGGCCGGGAGUUCAGGAAGGCAGGCUGUGGCGCUGAUAGGAACUGGAGGGUGGGCUGGAUGGCCGAGGGAGCAGAAACAUCUGCUAGGUGCAGAAAGCCAAGGGAGAGCCGGGGUGAGGGUUGCAGCAGGGGCAGCCCCGCUCUCGGAAUCACGGCGGCCACACGAUCCCUGUACAGUCUGCUUGGCACAGGGCUGGGAGCAGGGGGACCAGCAGGAGGGCUACCUGGCACAGGGACCGUCACAAAGGCUAUUUGGCAGGAUUGCUGGAUUGACAGCUGCCUGGCGUGAGUGAAGUUUGCACGGCAGACUCGUGGCACGGUGAUGGCUCGACGGUUGUGUGAAAUGGCGACCAUGUGUCAGGUAUCUGGUAGAGUGAUUAGAGUUCAGAGCGUGUCUGGUGUGCCUGCCUGGCACGGAAAGACGGCGCAUGCUAUUGCAAAGGUCUUGCUUGCUGUGGCCUGGUGACUAGAGAGGCUUUUUGUGCUGCCAUAACCAAUGGCUUCUCCAGAUUCUCCCUUAGCUUGAGGAGGAAAGUUUUGCUUUUUUGGAUCCAUGGGUUUCUGAUUCAACACCUUGCAACAGUGGUUCCUUCAGAUCAGUGCCCCAGCUGAGGCUUGUGGUGAGUAUGACUUAGCCCUUCUCCCCAAGCCAAGAACGGGACUCUCAGUGUUGGGAUUACCCAUGUCCAGCCUCCCUCAUGAUGAAUAAAACAAAACUGAGGCUUCCCUAGCCUGGGCAUCUGGCUUCCAGCAUGGAAAAUGGGGGAUUAUUAAGUACUUGACCAGCAAAGUGUAUUUGUACGCUAGGACCAAGCACCUUUCCUUAAAGCCACCCACGAAUGUAUUUAUUUCGUCAGAUGUGACUGCUUUUUACUAUGUGCCUAUCAACAUCUCUCUAGGUGCAGAAGCAAUCAAGGACUUUAGAACACACACAGUAAAUAAUCAGAUUAAUGGCAUGAUCAGACAUGACUCACUGGGUCUGGAAUUGCUUCCAAGGAAGUCUGCGGGAGUUUUGCCAUUGGCUUCAGAGAAAGCAGGAUCGGGCUUGCAGGGUUGGAUUUGGCACAGAAACUGGCACAGGCUGCCUCAUAGGUCUUGAGUUCAGCUCCUGUCAAGGCCAGUUUUGCUGCAGUGUCUGGCAGGGAGAGGUGACAGCUGUGUGACAUUUUUCAAGAGGAACUGAGCAACCUCUGUCAGACCUGAAUGAUGAGAAAAAGCUUAAGAGUCCUUUAAUUUUUAAUAAAAACUUCUCCAAGUUUU